rnacentral:ncRNA from 2 species
GUCCGCCCGCGGGAUGGGGCUUCCCGACAACCGCCUUGUGGCUGAUGGCUCCUGCUGCGGG